AUCUCUUUCUGGAUAUCCCUCCUUGGUGAAGCUCUGCCCUGCAAACCUGGAAUCUUCUGAUAUGGCUUUUCACCCAGCUACAGGAAGAUGUGCAUAAAGAACUUUCCUAACAGCAGCUGCAAAUACACCUGUCUCCUCUGCAUUUCCCCUUCUGAAGUCUGCAUCCUCUGACAUCUUUGCAGCUCUUGUUCCGCAGCAAUAGAUAAGAGAGCUCCACAGUCUUGCUCUGCAAUGGCAAUCAGGAGGUUCAAAAGAUUCCCCCCCUCCUCCCCAUCUUUCUACAUUAAAGAGGAAAAAGAGGCCUGAAUUGGAGUUGAGCAGCACACAAACGUAACUCGUGUCAUUGACACCAAGCAAAUGGGAGCCGUGAAUAAGGAAACGUUCGGAAUGAACACAAGGAGCAUUGUUUGCAUAUCAGAAAAAUUAAUCUACAUAGCCAAGUGUAAGAGCCUGCAAUUCAGAAAGCAAAGAAUUAGGACAGCCCAGCUGAGAAUAAUUUUCUAGCCAGUUAAUUUAAUUGCAUAAAUCAUUCCUUUGUUAGCAAUAAAGAGAUAUAAUUAAAAUGAGAUUGCUUCUCAUUUCUAUUCUCUGGAAACUAAAGGAAUUGAUUUUGGGGGAAAGCAUUCUUCCAAAUACCAGAUCGGCAAAUUACAUUUACCUUUGUAGAAAGGCUAAAUUAUUUCGCGCUAAUA